ACUCAAAUGAAUUGACGGGGGCCCGCACAAGCGGCGGAGCAUGCGGAUUAAUUCGAUGCGACGCGAAGAACCUUACCUGGGUUUGACAUUGCCACAAAAGCUGGAGAGAUUCAGUGUCCUUCGGGGGUGGUGACAGGUGGUGCAUGGCUGUCGUCAGCUCGUGUCGUGAGAUGUUGGGUUAAGUCCCGCAACGAGCGCAACCCUCGUUCCAUGUUGCCAGCACGUUAUGGUGGGGACUCAUGGGAGACUGCCGGGGUCAACUCGGAGGAAGGUGGGGAUGACGUCAAGUCAUCAUGCCCCUUAUGUCCAGGGCUUCACGCAUGCUACAAUGGCCGGUACAAUGGGCUGCGAUACCGUGAGGUGGAGCGAAUCCCAAAAAGCCGGUCUCAGUUCGGAUCGGGGUCUGCAACUCGACCCCGUGAAGUCGGAGUCGCUAGUAAUCGCAGAUCAGCAACGCUGCGGUGAAUACGUUCCCGGGCCUUGCACACACCGCCCGU
rnacentral:rRNA from 1 species